rnacentral:rRNA from 1 species
GACGAACGCUGGCGGCGUGCUUAACACAUGCAAGUCGAACGGAAAGGCCCUGCUUUUGUGGGGUGCUCGAUUGGCGAACGGGUGAGUAACACGUGAGUAACCUGCCCUUGACUUUGGGAUAACUUCAGGAAACUGGGGCUAAUACCGGAUAGGAGCUCCUGCUGCAUGGUGUGGGUUGGAACGUUUCGGCGGUUGGGGAUGGACUCGCGGCUUAUCAGCUUGUUGGUGUGGUAGUGGCUUACCAAGGCUUUGACGGGUAGCCGGCCUGAGAGGGUGACCGGACACAUUGGGACUGAGAUACGGACCAGAAUCCUACGGGAGGCAGCAGGCGGGAAUAUUACGCAAUGGGCGGAAGCCUGAUGCAGCAACGCCGCGUGCGGGAUGACGGCCUUCGGGUUGUAAACCGAUUUCGCAUGUGACGAAGAGUGAGUGACGGUAAUGGGUAAAGAAGCAACGGCUAACUACGUG